rnacentral:lncRNA from 10 species
ACUCUCUCUUUACGGGCUUGAGAAACACAGCCGCAAAGUCCUCUCCGCUUUGCCUUCUAGGAGCGACUUUACCUUUAAAUGUUGUUAGGGGUCGAGGACAAACUCAUAUCCUAUAUUGAGGAAAGCUGGAAAGGGACAAGAGAAAAAUUCAAAAUUUUCUCCCGAUCAGUAAUGUAUCCAGAGCUGGCGCCCGGAUCCUGCGGAACCUUAUCCAAUGAUCCAGAGAAUGGAAUGGUUAGAAUUGAGUUAGAAUACCUGAAAGUCCAGUGCUAAUUCCUCCUGAGAUUUACUCAACAAGUUUCAUCCACUGUCCGCCCUACUCAUACCAUUGAUUGCACUGGCAUUUUGCCACCCGGAAGAGCUUUAAUCAAGUUAUCUGCAAACCUGGAGGUUUCCUUGCUUGUCUCGCAAUUGUUCAUUUAGAAAAUCAUUUCCAUUACAAGUUCCGUUUAAGUCACGUCCUCUGUGACGUUCCCGCGUUUCCACGAGACCUGUUACUUUUUUGAAAAAAUUAAGUAGAUGGUACCCUUAUGCCAUCCUCAAAGUGUAGGACUUCGUUCCCCCUUGCUAGAACUGUAGGAAAAACACCCCAGGUCACUUGAACAACUGAGAUGCCUCUCAGGAGAAAACGAGUCUGUCUAAGGGAAAGAGGGAAUCUGAUACCAGAAGCUUGACCAUGGAGCAGAACCUCACGCAUUGAAAAGAGAAGAAAUUAUGGGGAAGCCUAGUGCGGGGUCUGCUUUAGAGUUUCCCCAGUUUCCCACUGGAGCUGUAAGAACUAAAAGGUUUAUUUCCACUAAAAUUGAGUACAGGUACAGCUUCGGUACCCAUCUAAGAAUGUUAGGGGAAAAUGGUUAUGUGUUCUCUCCCUCUUUGCCGAUGAACCUUGAAGACUGUGUACCCCGGGGGCUUUAGUACAUUUGCAGUGAUACCCCAGUAUAAUCUAAUGGUGCCAAGGAAGUGUCAGUGCUCAGCAGUACCCUAGAAAAGGGGCUUGAUGAUGACAGAGAAGGGUAAGUAAACAUCAGUAGUUGGUAGUUCAUAGGACUUUUCCCCAAAUACAGGUGAAAAAUUUCAUGAGGAUUCCCGAAAAUAUGAAAGAGCAGGAAACAAAAGGGAACGUUGCAGGAAGGUGGUUUAGGUAUCACUAGUGGGGGCAAGAGACGAUGAACUAUCUGGGUUGCAUUUAUAUG